ensembl:lncRNA
CAACAACAUACUAUGUCAAUUUAAUUCUAAUACUCUGAGAGUUAGUAGACAAGUAGUUGUAAAUGAAUGAUAAUAAGUUGACAUGUAGCUGCAAAAGUUACUUGUAGUUUGUAGAAUGUCUAAUGUGGACUAUCAAAAUAAAGUGUAACGCAACUUGGAAACUUGCAGCUUUAAGAUAGUUCAGAACUUCCAUAAUUAUGACUUUGUGGUGACAUUCAUGUGCAUUCAACUCGUAAAUACAACCUUUCCAACCUUUCUUGAUAGGGUGGCCAGACAUCCAGUUUUUCCCAGGACAGUCCCGUAUUUCAGCUGUAUUUUUAGUGUCCCAGUUCUGCGAUCAGUUCUCCUUGUGCAGUUGUCAAAUAGACACACACAGCUGUCAAAAUGUCCAUUGUGUGGAGUACCUCAUGUAAAUACAGUCGAUUAUGGCUUAAGUGAACGUAAACAGUGUGAGAAGCUGCCAUUUUCUCAGCAUCUUCAGAUGGUAGUGAGUGAAAGACGUUUAUGGAGCUGAUUACUGACACCUGAUACUCGUGAUGACCAAUCAACUCAUUCACUGGCUCCUCCAGAGAGGAACCCAGCUAUAAAAGCCACCAAGAAAGCACAGUUGGGGGAGAGAGGAAAGGAGAAAGUUUGAGCCAUCUCUCUCUCCCUCCAUGGACCCUCUCUGCAGCCCCAGACAAGUGUUGUGGUUUUGGUACUGUUGUUAGUUGAUGCCUAAUGCCAAUUUUGUGCUAGAGUUUCAGUUUGUGUACUGUUGCUUUGCUGCUCCCACUUAGACUGUUGAACUCCACUCAAUAUUGCUAAUACUUCUGUAGUCCUGUCUUCAAUAUUUAAGUUGUCUACUUUAUAACUUGUAGGGAGGAGGGUGCCCAUUUCUUUUAACUCCUUUUCUCCUGUUUUUUGGAAAAGUUAGGUAGUUAAGGAAGUAUAUUGUCUUUUUGUUAUUUAUUUUUCCCUGUGCUAGGUAAGUUAGUUUCAAAAUGGAGUAAGCUGCUGUUUUGUGUUAUUUUGGCUAUGCCCCUUCCUGAAGCCUGUUUGCUUUGUUCUUGCUACUCCUGCAUGUAUUAAAGAAAUACAAUAAAUCAAAUUAUAGUGGAUCCUUUAGUGGUUGG